rnacentral:misc_RNA from 1 species
UCUAUGGAGUAUUUCUAAUAGAAAAUAAUCGUUUGCUAGUUUAGAUUUAAAACAAACUAGCAAGUGUAUACCUUCUAUAAAACACUAAAGAUUAUUUUACUUAGCUUUGAGAGAUUAUUCUCUCGAUAUUAUUGUAUGUGUUGUGCAAUAAUUGUUCUUUGAAAACUUGGUAAUGUGAUUUUGUAUAUAUUCAAACGAGCAAUAUAUACAGGAGUAAAUUUUUUAAGAGUAAUCUAAUUUAUUAGAUAUUAAGAAAUCAAACUCAUCAAAUUAGGUAAAGUAAGUGGU